GAUGAACGCUGGCGGCGUGCCUAAUACAUGCAAGUCGAGCGAACGGACGAGAAGCUUGCUUCUCUGAUGUUAGCGGCGGACGGGUGAGUAACACGUGGAUAACCUACCUAUAAGACUGGGAUAACUUCGGGAAACCGGAGCUAAUACCGGAUAAUAUUUUGAACCGCAUGGUUCAAUAGUGAAAGACGGUCUUGCUGUCACUUAUAGAUGGAUCCGCGCUGCAUUAGCUAGUUGGUAAGGUAACGGCUUACCAAGGCAACGAUGCAUAGCCGACCUGAGAGGGUGAUCGGCCACACUGGAACUGAGACACGGUCCAGACUCCUACGGGAGGCAGCAGUAGGGAAUCUUCCGCAAUGGGCGAAAGCCUGACGGAGCAACGCCGCGUGAGUGAUGAAGGUCUUCGGAUCGUAAAACUCUGUUAUUAGGGAAGAACAGAUGUGUAAGUAACUGUGCACAUCUUGACGGUACCUAAUCAGAAAGCCACGGCUAACUACGUG
rnacentral:rRNA from 1 species